UACGGAGGGGGCUAGCGUUGUUCGGAAUUACUGGGCGUAAAGCGCACGUAGGCGGCUUUGUAAGUUAGAGGUGAAAGCCCGGGGCUCAACUCCGGAAUUGCCUUUAAGACUGCAUCGCUAGAAUUGUGGAGAGGUGAGUGGAAUUCCUGGUGUAGCGGUGAAAUGCGUAGAUAUCAGGAGGAACACCUGUGGCGAAGGCGGCCAUCUGGACCGCAACUGACGCUGAGGCGCGAAAGCGUGGGGAGCAAACAGG
rnacentral:rRNA from 1 species